rnacentral:lncRNA from 1 species
GAUUUUUAGUAGUUACUUUAGCUCUUGAACUUGGAGUUAUCACACUCACUUUUGCCAUUUUAUCCUGAAAGUCAUGGAUUGAGAAUACUUAUCAUACUCAUCCAGGGAUCCCUGAAAUCAAUGGUAUUAAGUGGAUGGUAGAUGGUUCUAAGAGUUAGAAUUGGGAUCAGCAGUACAUAACAGAAAAUCUCAAAAUAGACAGUGGCUUAAACAAGAUAGAUGUGUCUUAUUUCUCUUACACACAAAAGGAGUACAAAGGUAGGUAUUCUAGAGCUGAUGAGGUGCCUCUACAGGGUCAUGAAGAACCCAGAAUCCCUCCGGGCCUCUGUAUCAUCAUUUCUGUUCUGUAGUCCUUGUUUGUGAAAAUGUAGCAAAUGAAGGACACUCUCUUUUAAGGGAUUUCUCCCUGCAAACUCCACUUAACAAUUACAUUUGCAUUUCAUUGGCUGAAACUUAAUGUUAUAGCUAAAGUUGGCUGCAGGAAAGGCUGAGAAACGUGCCUUUAGUUGGGCAGUAAUGUAUCCAGCUAAAAUUUUGAUUUCCUAUGGCCAGGAAACAAAACAUAAGUAAUGGGAAGUAGCUAGAAAUUUCUUGCAGAAUAUUGCAGUAAGAAGUUGAAAAGCUUCUGUGAAAUAAUGCCUAAUCUUUGGGAAACCUAUGUUUGUGUUCUUUAAGUUUUCUAUUUCUAAGGGAAUGCAUGUAAUAUAUGUAGGUUAUAAGCUUAUGUUAUCAAAAUCAUGUAUUAGUAAUGCAGGACUUGCAAAAACUGAUCACACAAAGUAAUGACACAGCAGAAGUAAGUUUAGAGGACAGACUUACUACUGUUCUCAGCAUGUUCCCAUCUGCUGACACUCAAGAAGUUACAUGCUAUAAUAUUGUGGGCAACACACACAUACAGCCACUUUCAGAUUCCGCUACAAACAAAAGACAAGGGUAAAUGCAAAGGCAAGAUAAUUCUAGGUGUAUGGGAGACCCAUCCACCUAAUAAGCUGAACAGAUGGCCCUAGUACUGGUUCAUGGGAAAAGCCUAUUUCCUCGAUGGCUUAAGAGAAAGCUUAUACUUAGUACUACACAUCUGUGAAAAGCAGUUUUGCAGAAUACUAUGAUAAAAGCCACUGAAUGCUGAAGAGGCACAGGGCACAAGUGCAGAUGAAGGUAGAAUUUAGGAGGAAAGGCCUAUAGGGUGAGAGUACUGAGGUCUGCUGGAGAGAGGUUUCCAGUCAAGAAGGCAAAUGAAUGAUUCAGACUGGCUGAGGGUCCCACUAAAUCCUUUUCUCCUCACAAGGUUAGUGUCAAACACCUAUUAGAUUUAGCAGAAAAGAUGUGUAAUCCAUUCACCUGUUGCUCCAGAAAUAGUCACAGUAAGGAUCGGAGUCUUAUCUGUCAGUCCAUAAAAGCCAAAUGAUGAAAAUUUAAACAGAAACAAAAGGCAGAAUCACAGACACCCACUUGUGGAUCAGACAAAAGACACCUCUCCUGGGGUCUUUUGUCCUCCAGUCCAGCUGUAAGCGAAACCCGGGUCAGGUCCACACCACAUGUUGCUGACAGUCGUCGAGUGGCCCUGGAUGACCUGACUCUUCUCAGGGAUCCCUGUGAAAAAUGCAACCUUAUUGACUUUCCAGUUUUAUUUAGUCUCACUCCAAGGGAUGGAGCCAUCUUUUCACUGACCUGAGACAACCCCUUUGCAGCUGUGGUCUUGAGAAAAUCCUCCAUAAGCCCUCUGGCAAAGACAGGAAUGGAAUCAUGACAGAAUCAGAAAAGUUCACUUGCAUGAGGUCCCAAAGUCCCCUCAGAUGGUUGAGGAGAAGCCAAGUGAGGAGAGUGAGGGGUCAGUGCUUGUCCUCAGAGCUGAACCACCCUUAAGCCCAACCCAACGGCAUUCCUCACCAGGUACAAAGAGAACAGUACUGAGAUUUAGACCAGGUGUAUUAUUAACACUAUUGUAGGAGGGUGAUAACCACACACCCACCCCCCACCCCCCAACUCUACUUUCGGAUCUCAAGCCUUUCCAAUACAGCUUCUGGUUUCCUAGGCUUUGUCCUCCUCUAAUAACAUGUCUAGGCACAAUUAAAGAGGCUUCAUACACCACAGCUCUUUAUCUACUUGCAGGGCAGGCCAAAGUCAGUACCUACUCACCUUCUUAUUUCCCCUUGCCGUUACCAAUGAGCUGUGAUAGGAACAUGUACAAGUAGACAGGAGCUACCACCAAGCUGCAGCAGAGACUAAUGAGUGAAGACAGUCUCAGCUGUGAAAGUCUGGCCACCUAUUAAUAAAAAACCAUAGAGAUCCACAAAAAGGAGAUGGACAACACUUUUUAAACUUUUUGUGGGUAACUGUAAUACUCAAUUGUUCAGUUAACAUCUAUUGAUGCCCAUCUUAACCAGGCACUCAAGUAGCAGCUAGGGAUGCAAUAGUGGAUGAGACAGAUGGCCUCUCCCAUCAUGGAACAUACAUUCCCACGGGGAAACCAUGAGCAAGGAAUUAAUUGCAGGGGUACUAAAUUGAGACAAGAAAGUAUCAAGUUUUAUCAAGUAUAUUAUAAAGGCAGUGACUCAACCUAUGGUUCAGGAAAGGCUUCUCUGGGAUUGUGUGUUUGUAAUGAAAAUUAAGUUGAUAUGCGAAGGAUGUUAAUUAACAGGAGUUAAUUAUCAAAGACGGUGCUCCUGGCAGAGGGAAAAAUGGGGGGGGGUGGUCCCGAGGAAGAAGAGGAAACAUGGUAAUAAGAAAGAAAAAUGUGGUGUACACACACACACACACACACAGUGGAAUAUUAUUCAGUCAUAAAGAACAAGGAAAUCCUGCCGUUUGUGACAAAGUGGAUAGAUGUUGAGGAGAUGUAAGGUACAGCAAGGUGACUACAGUUAGAAAUACUGUAUUGUGUAUUUAAAAGUUGCUAAGAGAGUAGGUCUUAGAAGUUCUCCCCACAAGAAAAAAAAAUUUGUAACUACAUGUGGUGAUGGAAGUUAACCAAACAUAUUGUGGUGAUCAUUUUGCAAUACAUACAAAUAUGAAAUCAUUAUGUUGUACACAAGAAUACAAUCUUAUAUGCCAAUUAUAUCUCAAUUGUUUAAAGAAAGAGAUGGAGGAAGGGAGGGGAGGAGGGAAGAAGGGAGGGAGAGGAGGAAGGAAGGAAGGAAGAAGGAGAAAAAGAGAAAGAGAAAGAGAGAGAGAGAGAAAGAAAGAGUGAUUCUAGAGCACUGCUAAGAGCGAACAUCCCUACCUGAGCCUGAGGGGGCUGGCAGGCUUUCUUAAGGAUUUCCAUACAACACGGACAAAGAGAAGUUUGCAAAAGCUUCCAGAUAGGGAAAGAAAACUAAAUGCACAUUCCCUUCUUUUUCUUGCUCCUUACCUCCUGAUUUGACAUCUCUUGCCAAUGAGCUUCACAUUUUAGGGCAAACUAAGAAAAAUCAAGCUGACCUUCAAGCUUUGUGCAAAAUGAAACGCUUAUUUGACAUGACUACAAAGCAAAUGUUCAGAAUUAUAAAAACAACUAAUGUUUUCCUCAGAAUGAAUACAUCCAUAAUUCAGUAGAUUUAGCCUUGGCACUUGAACUCAGUUAUCUCUAAAAACACGUGCAGAUAUUUCAACCUCCUGAUUUAUAUGCAUUCAUAGCUUUCUACAGAAGGCAACACAUACAUGCCAAUUUUCAGUAGUGGAAGGAAAACGUGUUUCCCUGAAUCAAGAAAUAACUUUAUUAGGCGUAUAAGAACUCAUUAAUGGAAAAGUAAAGCAUCCUCCUUUCCUAUAAAAUUGGAUAUCAUGCCUUCACUUUUUGAAAGAAAAGUAUAAAGACAUGGAAUCCAUCUAUAGCCAUGAACAUAAGAUAAAAAGAGAAGGUACCCCACAAAGACUUUUAACUAUGAACGCAUUUAUUUAAAAGUUCCUCAAUCUGUCCCUCCUGAAAAUAUAAGCAAUUGAGACUUAAAGCGUUUGUACCUAGUUGUGGAAAACUAGAUGGAUCACUUCAAUUUCUCUGACUACUGGCCUCAUCAUUUAUAAACUAGAGGAAAUUCCUGUUCUUCUCCUUAGUGAUCAAUGUGAUGUUUGUGAAAGAAUCCUGGAAAAAUUUGAAACACAUAUAUACUCUAUGUAAAAUAAAGGUUAAUGAUUUGUAAAUUAAAGCCUAGCAAUUAAAAAAAAAUAGUUGGUACCUAUUUUCCAACCCCUAUUUAUCUAGAGUGUUUAGAAGGCAAAGCUAUUGAGCUUAUAUGACACAAACUUACAAUCUUCAAACACAGCUCCUUGUCCUCCUGGUACACAGCUAAACUAAUACCCUGCCACUGUGAGGUGAGUUCAACAAAAUGUUAAUGGAAGUAGUGUGGGCUAUUUCUAGGCCUGGCCCAUAAAAUUUUCCAACAGGCCAUUGACCAUGCUCUUUUACCUUUCAUCAGCUUGAUGAAAACAAGCACACUGACCUUGGAAAUUACAUUAAUGAAGAUGGUGGAGCCGUGAGACAGAGAGAACCUGGGUCUCUGUAUCAAGGCUUGCAGAAGAGCAGCCAAUCAGCUGCUCACACAUCUGACUCUGGGUUCAAUCUUCAAUUCCAGCACAUGCCAAUUUUCCUUUCCUGAGCUCUGCUGUGAUUUAGAAUUUUUGGACUCUACUUUAUUCAGCAUUUCCAUAGAACUGCAUUAGGAGAACAUUGCACAUGAAUUGGUUCAAUCUACCACAUCACAAUCAAAACUAUAUCUUCUUGUUUGUUUUUUGUCUUUUUAGGGCCAUACCCAUGGUAUAUGGAGAUUCCCAGGCUAGGGGUCGAAUCAGAGCUGUUAUGUACUGGCCUACCCCACAGUCACAGCAACGCCAGAUCCUUAACCCACUGAGCGAGACCAGGGAUCAAACAAGAGUCCUCAUGGAUAUUAGAUUCAUUUCCACUGAGCUACGAUGGAAACUCCCAGAACUAUAUUAAUAACCUGGCCUCUUGUCAAAAUCAACACCUAUCAUGUCUCCCUGUAUUUACUACAAUUGAACUCUUGGCUUGAUUAUUGGACAUGGGUUUCUUACCUUCACAAACAUUGUGGAUUGGUCUGAUGAAAAGAAAGAAUUUAUACUCUAUGUGUCCCCAUCUUGGAAGAAGGAGGAAGGGGAUAUCUCUACUUGGAGCACAAAAUUUUCAUGUGAUCAGUCCUAUGUUUCUGAGUAGGAUACAAUUGUUCAAAAUUAUAAUACCACUUGUUAAUUUAUAAGAGGGGAAAAUUGCCUAAGAAAUCAUGUAGGAAACAUGGAAACAUAGGAAAAAGGGAAAAGUGGAGGGUGGUAGAGCAAGAGGGGAAUUACUCUUGGGGGCAGGGAGGAAGCAUGUAAUCACAGUGUAACUAGCAGUUAGAUGUUGUAGAUUCACCAUCUACAAGAUGUGUGACCUUGGUCAAGUUACUAAACCUCUCUGAACAUGAGUUUUCAUAUCUAUGAAUAUAAAAUGAUAAUAUUAGCUAUCUCAUAAGUUAUUAUGUGGGCAUGAUAACACAUGCAAAUUGCUUUAAAUGGGGCCCAGAAUAAAACAAACACUGAAUACAUGCUAAAUAAUAUUAUUUACAAAUAAAGAUUUUAAAAAGAAAUAAGUGUAUAUGAUAAAAUCACAAAAUAAUUUGCAUAUGAACAUCAUAAAUACAUUGUCAUUUAAACAAAAAUUGAAUUACACUUUUAACUUUCAGGAGAAAAAAAUUACUCUGGGAAGUUCCUAUCAUGGCUCAGUGGAAAUGAAUCUGACGAGCAUCCAUGAGGCACAGGUUCGAUCCCUGGCCUCGUUCAGUGGGUUAAGGAUCCGAAGUUGCCAUGAGCUGUGGUGUAGGUCGUGGAUAUGGCUUGGAUCCUGAGUUGCUGUAGCUGUGGUGUAGGCCAGCAGCUGUAGUUCUGAUUAGACCCUUAGCCUGGGAACCUCCACAUGCUGUAGGUGCAGCCCUAAAAAGACAAAAAAAAAAAAAAAUUCUGGA